rnacentral:misc_RNA from 1 species
AAGUCGUAACAAGGUCUCCGUUGGUGAACCAGCGGAAGGAUCAUUAUUGAAAUAAACCUGAUGGGUUGUUGCUGGUUCUCUAGGGAGCAUGUGCACGCCUUGUCAUCUUUAUAUCUCCUCCUGUGCACCUUUUGUAGACCUUUCAGGUCUAUGUUUGCUUCAUUUACCCCAUUGUAUGUUAAUAGAAUGUUGUGCCUAUAUAAUAUAUACAACUUUCAGCAACGGAUCUCUUGGCUCUC